AGAGAGAGAGGACACAAUAGUGCCAUGGAACAUGUGGUUGUUGGCCUCGUUCUCAUCUUCUCCAAGUAGAAGGUUAUGUAUGUGGCUUAAUGUACAGCUAAGGGAAGAAAUUCCCUGAGUCUUUGACUGUGAUAUGGGAGACUGGAAUACUACUAUGAACAACCUACCGGUCUGAUGCUGAGCAGAUCAUAACGGCUUUGUUCUACCCAUCUUCACACAGGUUCCUGCGCAUGCCCAACUCACCGUGCUGCUGGGCGCAUAGAGAGAAUACAUCCAUCCCUUUGCAUUUCUCAUUGACUUCCUACCUUCUGCUAUGACAGCUAUCGCGACCAAAAUCGUAGGUUAAGCCUUGAAAGCAAGACUAUUCAACCCAAGUAUACAUGGGCUGUAUAUCUAAGUUUUCUUUUGCCACAUUUUUAAAUGUUAAAAAAAAACAUAGAAGCUAAUUCCUAACAGCUCAUUUACUAUAACAUAAUCAAAUAGUAUUACUUUGAUAUUCAGUCAAUAUGUACACAAUGUAUCAACGUAGUUAUUUUUAUAUUUGCCUUCAAAACGUGGUAUUUUAUACUCAAAGGACAUCUCAGCAUGGACUUUAUAUAUUUCACAAGCUUGGUAGCCACGUGUGACCAGCGGCUUUACAACCCCCACCCUCACCCCACUCUCCACUGUUGCCCUCUGCCCUGUGUGAUUGCCAAAAGCAAUGCUGUCACCUUCUGGGAAGAUCUCAGAGACUCACAUGCAAUUAAAAAUGGCCGAAAGUCAUGAGGUGGGCUCAGGGUUCCUUCUGUGUCACCUCUAACAUUCCUGCUUGAUUUAUGCUGCCGGGAUUUUUUUUUUUUUUAAAGUAUACUCGUUUGUUCUCCUGCUCCAGAGGUGACCUUACAAUGGAGAUCAGCACAGUUUCUCGUAUCUGGUAAGCAUCCCUGAUUGUGGAAAUGGUUUUGACCUAGCCAACAAGACAGUGUUGGUUGUAAUUUGUUCCCAUUUGGUGGGUACAAUUGUACCCUGCCCCGUCUUGCCUGGGAAAUUUAUCUCCUCUGUCCUGCACCAUGUUUUAGGCCAUGCCUCUUUUCCUCCGUAUUUCUCAGGACAUCGAGACAGCAAACUUAACAGGACCGGAUAGCCAAGAUCUAGGUACAAGUGCUAGGAGCAAGAGUGAGUCCAAUAUGACCCCAGGGAUCCUUUAAGUGAGGCAAAGAGGCAGAAAAUGAAGACUUCUUAAUUUGAGGAUGGAGGUAAAUGCCCAGAGACAACGAAAGAGCGGGCUGCUGAGCCAGAAAAGGGCAAGACGGACAAUCCUCGGGGUCUCUGUGAGGAAAGAAACUGAGCCGACGCCUGGACACCACUCCUGUGAGCCUCAUCUCCAACCUCAAACCUCCAGUCCUGUAAAGAAAAAGGCCCCCACAAACUUCAUGGUCAUUUUGCAGCAGACCCGUGUUGUUUUCCACAGCCGAUGCUGGAAGGCCAGCACUUCCUGUGUUAGCCCUACUGUGCUAUUCUAGCCCAUCAGCAGAAACAAGUGCAGUCGGGAGAUUACAGGAUAACCAGGAAGUGGUGCAGAGCUCUGAAAAAGGAAUGGAUCCUGUGCCAUUAGAAUUCAAGUAUGAGAAAGAGGUCACUCCCAACUUAAGAAAGCUCUUGAGACCAGGGGGUGGAAAAAGUAAGUGAGUACGGGUGUGGCCAUUGUUGUGGGCAGAAGAGGCCUCGGUAGCUAAAGAGUUGGGAGGGUGAUAACACUCUAUCUGUGGAGAAGAAUGAAGUCAGCUUGAGGUAGAGGACGAACAGAUAAGCCUCAGUGUAGGUGGGGCAAGACCUUGGAAGGUUGUAAAGUCAGCAAACAGGGUUUGGCCUUUUUUUUUUUUCUUUCUGUUUCUUUAGAGGAACUCAUAUUAAUACUCGCAUUUCUGUCGUUCCUUUCUUCUCCCCUUUUAGCUAUGAUCCAUGGCAGUCUUGGAAGAUUGGUGAACAUAGACAAAAUUAAUAUACUUUUUAAUGUAUCAUAACCACUAAAUGAAAUGGAAGCGA
rnacentral:sRNA from 1 species